AUAAUCGAGCGUAUUUAUACGUUAGGAAAGUCCAUACUAACACGAACUGUGAUGUUCGUAGUGUUUGUGCAUAAUUAAAAAAUAAGUUAUGGAACUAUUAAUUUAGUUACGGCGAAUGAAACCUAAAGCUUAGCCAUGGUGUAAUUCAUAAAGUGCCACAGUGACGAUUCUUUUGGAAACAAAAGCGUGGAACGGGUAAACCCCACAAGUUAGCAACCCAAAUUUUGGUAGGGGCAUGACAAUUAGAAGAAUAAGAAUUCAUAAUUGUUACUUAAGAAUUUUUUCUUUUGAGAUAAAUGAUUAUCCCUUUUUAAAUAAAAGGACAGAAUAUGGCUUAUU
rnacentral:RNase_P_RNA from 1 species